CACCGUAAGGUGGGAUCUGAAGAAAGGUGGAGGCAAAACUCUGGCGUUCCACACCUGAGGCCCUAAUGGUGGAUGAGGCUCCGAAACAGGCUGAAGUCCGAUAACUGCACGUGAAGCAUUGCGGUAUUUGUGGGG
rnacentral:ncRNA from 1 species